GAUGAAGAACGCAGCAAAAUGCGAUAAGUAAUGUGAAUUGCAGAAUUCAGUGAAUCAUCGAAUCUUUGAACGCACAUUGCGCCCACUAGUAUUCUGGUGGGCAUGCCUGUUCGAGCGUCAUUUCAACCCUCAAGCCUGGCUUGGUGUUGGGGCUCUGCGUCUGCAGUCCCUUAAAUCCAGUGGCGGACACGCUAGGUCUCCGAGCGCAGUAGUUUCUCCUCGCUCAGGGCGUCCGGCGUGGGCUUGCCUCGCACCCAUCUUUUACAAGGUUGACCUCGGAUCAGGUAGGAAUACCCGCUGAACUUAAGCAUAUCAAUAAGCGGAGGA
rnacentral:misc_RNA from 1 species